CCUACGGGGUGCUGCAGUCGAGAAUCAUUCACAAUGGGGGAAACCCUGAUGGUGCGACGCCGCGUGGGGGAAUGAAGGUCUUCGGAUUGUAAACCCCUGUCAUGUGGGAGCAAAUUAAAAAGAUAGUACCACAAGAGGAAGAGACGGCUCACUCUGUGCCAGCAGCCGCGGUAAUACAGAGGUCUCAAGCGUUGUUCGGAAGCACUGGGCGUAAAGCGUGCGUAGGCUGUUUCGUAAGUCGUGUGAGAAAGGCGCGGGCUCAACCCGCGGACGGCACAUGAUACUGCGAGACUAGAGUAAGGGAGGGGGAACAGGAAUUCUCGGUGUAGCAGUGAAAUGCGUAGAUAUCGAGAGGAACACUCGUGGCGAAGGCGGGUUCCUGGACAUUAACUGACGCUGAGGCACGAAGGCCAGGGGAGCGAAAGGGAUUAGAUACCCCGGUAGUC
rnacentral:rRNA from 1 species